rnacentral:rRNA from 1 species
GACAGAGGUGCCGAGCGUUAGGCGGAAUCACUGGGCUUAAAGCGUGUGUAGGCGGGCGGGCAAGUACCUUGUGAAAUCCCACGGCUCAACCGUGGAACGGCUGGGUAUACUGCCUGUCUUGAGCCAACUAGGGGCGAGCGGAACAGGCGGUGGAGCGGUGAAAUGCGUAGAUAUCGUCUGGAACGCCAAAGGUGAAAACAGCUCGCUGGGGUUGUGCUGACGCUGAGACACGAAAGCCAGGGGAGCGAACGGG